rnacentral:rRNA from 1 species
UACAGAGGUCCCAAGCGUUGUUCGGAUUUACUGGGCGUAAAGGGUGCGUAGGCGGUCGGGGUAAGUCUGAUGUGAAAAUCUCUGGGCUCAACCCAGAAAUGGCAUUGGAUACUAUUCGGCUUGAGGUCUGGAGGGGGGGACUGGAAUUCUCGGUGUAGCAGUGAAAUGCGUAGAUAUCGAGAGGAACACCAGUGGCGAAGGCGAGUCCCCUGGACAGAUCCUGACGUGAGGCACGAAAAGCUAGGGGGAGCAAAACAGGAUUAGAAAACCCCGUGUAG